UUUAAAUCGUUAUGCACCUGCCCCAACCCCCUGGUACAUAGGUUACCUCACAUUUACACUUUGCUUCAGUCUCAUCCAUUGGUCCCGCCAUGCUCCUAUGCUGGGAAAUGGGAGACAUGUCUAUGCCCAGUGGCAGAAGGUUUUUUACUUAACUCACUACUGCUCGAUCUCCAGGAAAACCCCACGGAAUGCAUAUAAACUAAUGUAACUGUGGUACC